GGCUGUGUGGUCUAGUGGUAUGAUUCUCGCUCUGGGUGCGAGAGGUCCCGAGUUCGAUUCUCAGCUCAGCCC
rnacentral:tRNA from 1 species